ACUUUCAUUCAACUCAUGAUGAUCCUCAAAUACUCGAUAUUUGAUGGAUUUACAAAAAUAUCUUUUUACUGUUUUUAUAAAAAGUUUUUACUGUUACUAGGCUGUUGCUUGAUUCACCACUUUGACAGUCUAUUCUGGUAGUCUCGCUUAAAUGUCACGAUUAUAUAUCAGUUCGAGGUUUAUCAACUAGAUGAAUCUUUGCAGAAUAAUCAAAUGGAGAAUUCAAUCAUUGGAAUCACUAGUUGGAGCACAACCAGCGGCAAUACACAUAGUCAUACAAACUCCCAAUGCCGCAUUGCAGGCGAGCACGGAAGCUGGAGCACUGGCACCAAAAGUAACACCCAUUGUGGCACCAGCAGCAGCGUAACAGGCAACAGCGGCGGCAUUACAUCCAGUUUGGCAGAUACCAUAAGCUGCUGGUCCAGCUUCAAUGAAGCUGACCAACAUGAACGAAA